rnacentral:rRNA from 1 species
AUACGUAGGGUGCGAGCGUUAAUCGGAAUUACUGGGCGUAAAGCGUGCGCAGGCGGUUUUGUAAGACAGUGGUGAAAUCCCCGGGCUCAACCUGGGAACUGCCAUUGUGACUGCAAGGCUGGAGUGCGGCAGAGGGGGAUGGAAUUCCGCGUGUAGCAGUGAAAUGCGUAGAUAUGCGGAGGAACACCGAUGGCGAAGGCAACCCCCUGGGCCUGCACUGACGCUCAUGCACGAAAGCGUGGGGAGCAAACAGGAUUAGAUACCCUGGUAGUCCACGCCCUAAACGAUGUCAACUGGUUGUUGGGAAUUUAUUUUCUCAGUAACGAAGCUAACGCGUGAAGUUGACCGCCUGGGGAGUACGGCCGCAAGGUUAAAACUCAAAGGAAUUGACGGGG